rnacentral:misc_RNA from 1 species
UAAUGCACUUCCUUGGGCGUACAGGAAGUGAAGAUCCAUUUGACCUGCAACCGAUGCCACCAAUAACAUUACGGAAGAUUUUGUUGACAAAUUAAUUAGCGGUGGAAUAAGUUAAAUACCAUGAAUCGCCCAUGUGGAUAGGCCGUUUUAUUAUUUUUUUGGUACUGAAAAUGCCAGUAUGGAUAAAUGUAAAUAUCGCUCACGAGAAGAAAUGGAGAUAUUCAAUAUAUCUCUUCAUCUGAAGAUUUUAUAUGGAAUUUUACUCAUUAACUGUUCAGCUACUUUAGUUAUGGUAAUGUUUUGGUAUACCAGUCAUGCUGAAGGGUCAAGGCCAUUGUAACCAGGAUUCGAGUGACCUUCAAAGUGGACAGAAUAUUCCAAGUAGUGCUAUAGCCUUAAGACAUAACUUUACAAAAAACGAAAAACCAAAAUCUGAAUUUCCGGAAAGAUAUCGAAGAGCCUUUUCAUCUGAGAUGCCAUCAAAUUGUGCCGUGUUCAUUCGUGAUUGCAAGCAAACGAUUCAAGACUCCUUCCUACUGAAAGGACAGAAAGGUGAGAGAGGUUAUACUGGGAUACCUGGAGUUACCGGAAGCCAGGGACAGAAAGGGUCGAAGGGUGACAAUGGAGCCAUCGGACCGAUAGGACCCAGGGGACAGAUGGGAGAUGCAGGACUUCCAGGCCUGAGGGGCUCACCCGGGGACCAAGGAUAUCCGGGGAAACCAGGAAUCCCCGGAGAGCCGGGUUUGCCGGGUCCCAAGGGAGACAAAGGACACAUGGGACUUCUCGGAUUUCCCGGGGAUAAAGGUCCUCCAGGACCAAUCGGAGAGAAAGGUGAACCAGGUGAGAGUGGACCCCAGGGACCCUACGGACCGGUCGGACCGACCGGACCCCCGGGACCCAUUGGCUACAAAGGAGAUAAGGGGGACACUGGUUUGAUUGGAUACACAGGGUACAAAGGAGAUAAAGGGGACGUUGGACCAAAAGGAGACAAAGGUUAUGGAUUCCCCGGAUUACCAGGACCAAUAGGACAAAAAGGAGAGAAGGGUGAAUGUAAAGCUUCUUCCUUCAAAAUGGAAAACCUGAAAUUGGAAAGAGAUGCCACAAAUCGCCCAGUUCGCACGCCACAAAACGACAAAUUCGUUGAAAAUCCACAUGGAAAGAACAACCACCCACCAAGGCGAACCUCUCAACUGUCGGUAAUUGCGGUCUUGAUGUUCUAUGCAAUCUGUUGACCUAUUGAGCGAGGCAAACGGCACGCUUAUACACGAGAUUGUUCAGCUCGAGACAAACAAUGGACAGCCAGUGAAGCAAUCCAGGAAACAAGAUCAAAGGGAAACUACUGUGUUCAGCUCUUUCUACUUGUCAGAUACUAUCAUUGAAAAUUAUGAAAUGAACACAGAACCAUGAUGGAGAAAUUAUUACUUGUACAUUGUUUCCUGAAAUAAUGUGAUACUAAUUUGUGUUUUGUCAAAUCAACCAUUCAUUAUAUAAUCAAAGACAUUUUACGGAGACCUUUUUUAAUAUCAGUGAUUUUAUGAUUAAAUGCAAUUAUUAUUAAUGAAUGUAUUAAAAAUAAAACAUAAUAAGAACACUUAAAGUGAUCCUUUUUAGAAUUGAAAUUAAACAAAAUAUGCUUGACAUUUUC